GACAUGAUUUUAAAUGGAGAAGAGUUCRAUGUCAUUUUUAAUAAGCCAACUAUCCUGUAUGAAAGAAUGCAGAUAAGUCAGCGGCUGAUCAAAGGAACAGAUGAUUUGUCUGGACUAUGCCGAGUGUGUGGUGUGUAUGACACAGAUGUGCAAUGGAUUGCUUGCACACUAUGUKACAGCUGGUAUCACUUAAGCUGUGUUGGGCAACCAGGAGUGGAUGGUGACUUUUACUGUCCUAUG